CAGCAGCCGCGGGAAUACAGAGGGUGCGAGCGUUAAUCGGGUUUACUGGGCGUAAAGCGUGCGUAGGCGGCUUCUUAAGUCGGAUGUGAAAUCCCUGAGCUUAACUUAGGAAUUGCAUUCGAUACUGGGAAGCUAGAGUAUGGGAGAGGAUGGUAGAAUUCCAGGUGUAGCGGUGAAAUGCGUAGAGAUCUGGAGGAAUACCGAUGGCGAAGGCAGCCAUCUGGCCUAAUACUGACGCUGAGGUACGAAAGCAUGGGGAGCAAACAGGAUUAGAUACCCGGGUAGUCCCUGUCUCUUAUAC
rnacentral:rRNA from 1 species